rnacentral:rRNA from 1 species
GACGGUGGAUGCAAGCGUUAUCCGGAAUUAUUGGGCGUAAAGCGUCCGUAGGUGGCUGGUCAAGUCUGCUGUCAAAGCGUGGAGCUCAACUCCAUAUCGGCGGUGGAAACUGACGAGCUAGAGUGCGAUAGGGGUAGCAGGAAUUCCCAGUGUAGCGGUGAAAUGCGUAGAGAUUGGGAAGAACACCAGCGGCGAAAGCGUGCUACUGGGUCUGCACUGACACUGAGGGACGAAAGCUAGGGGAGCGAAAGGG